UGAGAUUCAUUUAGCUGAUCUUUUUUCUUUUUCAGCACUCAAAAGUUGCCCCAUUUGGAAUAAUUUCUUAAAAAAAGGCGGCGUGGAGAAAGAAUUGCCAGCGACUUAUAAAUGGUUCACGAAAUUGUUAAGCAUCCCAGAAAUUGGUAAAGCUUGUGAAAAAGUUUUUACACGAACAGCUACUCGCACAAAAAUUCCUACUGAUAAUAAUAAAAGUAAUCAGACAAAAAAUAUUACUUACAACGAACUUCCAAAUGCUAUUAUUGGGCAUGUGGUUGUUCGUUUCCCUCCAGAAGCUUCGGGCUAUCUACAUAUUGGUCAUGCAAAAGCGGCCAUUUUGAAUUACACAUACGCUCAACAGUACAAAGGGACGCUCAUCUUAAGAUUCGAUGAUACUAAUCCUGAAAAAGAAAAGUGUCACUUUGAGGAAAGUAUUAUUAACGAUUUACAAGUUCUUGGCGUGAAGUAUGAUAAACUCUCUUACACUUCUGAUUACUUUGAUAAACUGCUGGAACUUGCAAGUGAAUUAAUAAGAGCGGGAAAAGCUUAUGUGGACGAUACUCCAGUGGAGAAAAUGCGAG